rnacentral:rRNA from 1 species
UACGGAGGAUCCAAGCGUUAUCCGGAUUUAUUGGGUUUAAAGGGUGCGUAGGCGGCCUGUUAAGUCAGGGGUGAAAGACGGUAGCUCAACUAUCGCAGUGCCCUUGAUACUGAUGGGCUUGAAUGUACUAGAGGUAGGCGGAAUGUGACAAGUAGCGGUGAAAUGCAUAGAUAUGACAUAGAACACCGAUAGCGGAGGCAGCUUGCUACACAGUCAUUGACACUGAGGCACGAAAGCGUGGGGAUCAAACAGG